GAGGGUAUAGCUCAGUGGUAGAGUGCAUGCUUAGCAUGCACAGGGUCCUGGGUUCAAUCUCCAGUACCUCCA
rnacentral:tRNA from 1 species